rnacentral:rRNA from 1 species
CCUACGGGAGGCUGCAGUGAGGAAUAUUGGUCAAUGGGCGCGAGCCUGAACCAGCCAAGUAGCGUGAAGGAUGACUGCCCUACGGGUUGUAAACUUCUUUUAUAAAGGAAUAAAGUGAGGCACGUGUGACUUUUUGGAUGUACUUUAUGAAUAAGCAUCGGCUAACUCCGUGCCAGCAGCCGCGGUAAUACGGAGGAUCCGAGCGUUAUCCGGAUUUAUUGGGUUUAAAGGGAGCGUAGAUGGGUUGUUAAGUCAGUUGUGAAAGUUUGCGGCUCAACCGUCAAAUUGCAAUUGAUACUGGCAGCCUUGAGUACAGUUGAGGUAGGCGGAAUGCGUGGUGUAGCGGUGAAAUGCUUAGAUAUCACGAAGAACUCCGAUUGCGAAGGCAGCCUACUAACCUGCCACUGACAUUGAUGCUCGAAAGUGUGGGUAUCAAACAGGAUUAGAUACCCUAGUAGUC